AUAUCUUAUACACUUUCUCAAAAACAUAUUCACUUUCACUAAAACAUAUGCACAAAACUGAAAUCAGAAUCAUGAUUCAGAAAAGACAUUGCUACAUUGUAUGAUGAGCUACACUGUCACAUGUGCCAGAUCACUCAACAGGUAUAUUGUGUCAUAUUGUACAAUGAGUUAUAUAUCCUAGAAUUAGAGAACAUAAGCACUUCACUGCAUUGUACAAUGAGGUCCACUUAAUCAUUGUUAUGGAGGGC
rnacentral:lncRNA from 1 species